CUGGAGCUGGGUCGGCCGAGAGAGGGAAGAACGGUGGUUGGCCGAGAGGGGAGAAGGAGCGUGUGGCUGUUCUGGGAAGGAGGAGGACCGGCUGAGAGGGAGAAGGAAAAUCAAAGGGGCAGCUGUGGAGAAAAAGGAGGAGGUGUCGGUUUGGGAAAAGAAAAUGAUGGUGGAACCGGCUGCGAAAUUGGAGGCUUGUGCAGGCGGCUGAAGAGGAAAAAUCUGCAAAACCAAAGGAGAGAGGGGGGCGGCGGCUCUCCUUGAAAAAAAGAAGAUGGGUUUAGGUUUAGGUUUUUUUGUAUUUUUUUCUGAUGUUGUCAAAAUUGCCCCCCCCUUGAAAAUUCAGUGUAGCAUGGUAUUUAUAGGAAAAGUUUUGCUAGGUUUUCAAACUAGUCCCUCAACUUUUCCUUUCCUUCUCUUUUCCUCUUUUUUUUGUAAAUUUUGAUUUUUCUUAUUUUUUUUGUAUUUUUGAAAGCGAGCAAUAUCAACGUCAACUCAACAAGGAAAAUCAGUGAUUUUAAAAAUAACGCGUUAAAAGUUGAACGCGUUCCAAAUGUCUUUGAAAAUUUAAAUUAUUUUGAGACGAUGCUAAAAAAUGCUAAAAACGAUGCAAAUGUAUUAAAAAUGUAUUUUUUUGGAUUUUCAAUGUUUCUCGCUAUUUUUGGAUUUUUUUGAAAAUUUAUCAAAACAUGGGUCAAAAAUUGGGUAGCAACAGAUGCCCCCUCUUUACAAUGCUUACGAAGCAAAACUCCUCAAUGUUUCGCAUAGUAAGCUUUGUAAAGAAAAACUCUAAAUGUUUCUUUUUUUUUUUUUUUUUGUUAACUUGAGAUCCCAUCUGGCGAUCUCCUUUUUCAAAACCAAAGAAUGUGUGUAGCUCGGUCAACCUGAAAUCCCAUCUGGCGAUUCCCUUUAACCAAAGCUACAUGAGAUCCCAUCUGGCGACCUCAUUCAACUUGAACUUAAAAAAAUGUGUGGUAGCUCGGUCAACCUGAAAUCCCAUCUGGCGAUUCCCUUUAACCAAAGCUACAUGAGAUUCCAUCUGGCAACCUCAUUAAACCCAAACAAAGAAUGUGGAACAAAUGGUCUCAUUGUAUGGGUGACGAACCCCAGAAAAAUGAUGGUCUCAUUGUAUGGGUGAUGAACCCCAGAAAAAUAAUGGUCUCAUUGUAUGGGUGACGAACCCCAGAAAAAUGGUGGUCUCAUUGUAUGGGUGACGAACCCCAGAAAAAUGGUGGUCUCAUUGUAUGGGUGACGAACCCCAGAAAAAUGAUGGUCUCAUUGUAUGGGUGACUAACCCAAGAAAAAUGAUGGUCUCAUUGUAUGGGUGACGAACCCCAGAAAAAUGAUGGUCUCAUUGUAUGGGUGACGAACCCCAGAAAAAUGGUGGUCUCAUUGUAUGGGUGACGAACCCCAGAAAAAUGGUGGUCUCAUUGUAUGGGUGACUAACCCAAGAAAAAAAAUGAUGGUCUCAUUGUAUGGGUGACGAACCCAAGAAAAAAUGAUGGAAAAUGGUCUCAUUAUGAUGGGUGACCUACCCAAACGGAAAGAAUGUGAAGUGCGGUCUCAUUAUAAUGGGUGACCUACCCAGGUGGAAGAUAGAAAAAUGUGAAGUGGUCGCGUUAUAAUGGGUGACCUACCCAGGUGGAAGAUAGAAAAAAUGUGAAGUGGUCGCGUUAUAAUGGGUGACCUACCCAGAUGGAAGAUAGAACAAAUAUGAAGUGGUCUCAUUGUUAUGGGUGACCUACCCAGGUGGAGGAUAGAAAAAAUAUGAAGUGGUCUCAUUGUUAUGGGUGACCUACCCAGGUGUAAGAUAGAAAAAAUGUGAAGUGAUCUCAUUGUUAUGGGUGACCUACCCAGGUGGAAGAUCGAAAAAAUGUGAAGUGGUCUCAUUGUUAUGGGUGACCUACCCAGAUGGAAGAUAGAAAAAAUAUGAACUGGUCUCAUUGUUAUGGGUGACCUACCCAACUGAAAGAUGUGAUGUGACAAGUGUGAAAAAUGGGACUUACCUGGCGAAGUCCUGAAGGGAUGAUAGAAGAAGGGCCGGAAAACUUGGUGCUUCUUGAUAAUUCUUGAUCGCAGGGUUUGAAAACUCGAUGCUUCCUGAUUGCAAGGUUGAUCUUUUCAUUUCUUUGAGAUUUUCCUAACAGUAAGGUUUAUCUCAUCUUCUUCCCGUUCCAGGAUCUAAACCAUGAUUCUCUGUUAUUAUCAGCUCAAUGAUUCUCUCUUUGUCCACAAUCUUGCUGGACUUCAUUGAGGAUCUUUCUGUAACAAAUCACAAAUAUGUGCAAUGCUUUGAGGUUAGAUGACAUGCAUGCAUCCUUACCUGAUGUGAAGUGUAGGUUACCCCCUUGGAUGAUCCAUCGUCAUAGGAUGCCUUUGUUUGCUAACCAAAGCCUUCUUUGCUCUUCCCAUGUACUGGCUCAUUCGUAUGCUAGCCUUCCACUCAAAUGUAAGUGCAGUGCCCAUCUCGGGCUGUCUACGACGAUUACUGCUCUUGUUGUUUAUCAAGCUUGACUCUGCCCCAAAGUGUGGUGUUGCUUGAUUCAUCAUGAAGGAUUUUCUCUCCUAGAUUCUUCUAAAAAUUAUCUUCUGAUUGGUUGUGUGCAUCAUGCCAACACCCAUCAAGAUGGUCAAUCAGUCAUGAACUUGCCCCCAGUUGAAACAAUACUCUUCAAAUUAUCAUCAGUCUUCAUAGAACUGUCAAGUCAUCCAGACAUGGAUCUCAUACCUUGCAGUAAAAGACUCAUCGUUGUAUGCUCAAUGUUCUUUCUCAUGGAUUUCUCUCAGCUUGUCAAAUCAGAUAGUGAAAAGAAAUGCAGUGGCAUCAUCAAUGAUGUUCAUUUUAUCACCCAUAUUCAUGCGAUGAAGUGCGCCUUCAAGCUUCAAAACAAGAUGGUCCCACAGUCAGUCUUGGUGAGUGCAUCCUUCCAAUAUUCACAACUAUGCGAUAACAUCGUUCAAAAGUCAUAGCCAUGUUGGAGAUGAUAAUAUGACAUUAUCCUUCAAGUACAACAUUGUUCCGCAAUCAAUCUUGGUGGUGUGCAUCUUUUCAUAUUCGUUCGAAUGCAAUUGUAUGCCCACAUCGGUCGAUAGCCAUGUUUCAAAAGAUGACGAUAUAAAGAUUUCCUUCAAGUGUAUCUUUGCUUUCCCGAUUGUUGACGGGGUUCAUUAGAUCAUGGACUAUCUUUGAACAACAUUGCCCCCAAUAUGAUCUAAAUGCUUGUUCAUUGAUUAUCUUUCUUUGAACACCAUUGUCUUCAGUGCCUUGAUUCAUCAUUUGAUCAUCUUUCAUUGCCCCCAGCUGAUCUGAAUACUGUUUGUUUUUCCUACCAAUGAUCCACUGUAUUGCCUCCAGGUGGUCAACUUCUCAAGGAGUGUCGAGAAAUGUUGAUGUCAUUCUUGUCAAGGAUUUUGCAAAUUUGGUCGAUGUUCUUGUUGUUUAACAAUCUUUCUUGUUUUGGAAUCAACUCUCAUAUUUCAAAGAUCAUGUCUAUUCAAAGUCUAGUUGUUGAAAUGAAAUCAAAGAGAUGUCAGUUUUUUAAAAUCAAGUUUCUUCGGUCAAAGAUCCAGCACACACUAUUCAAUAUAGUCCUUUGAUUGUCUUGUAUUUUGAAAACAGAAAUGACCCAUUGUAAGUUUAAAAUGACUUUUUUUCAUGGUUCUUUAUGUCAGUUUUAAUCUUUGAUCUUGGGUAUAUCUUUUCACGGUCUGCAAUGAGGUGACCUUCUGUGAAUUUCAAGGAAAACAAAAGGCUCAAGUCAAAACUUGAGGAUUCAGCAAGAAAGAUUGUUUUCUUUUUUAGCACUAAUUUUAUCAGCAUGCAUAAUAACCAAUAGCUUAAUUCAUGAAGCCACGACUCUUAUGGAAAAGCUCUUCAAGUUUUGAGAGCGCCAUUUAUCGGUUCAAAUUGCUUACUUGAUUAAAAAGGGCUUUUAAAAGCACGUAAUGCAGGCUAUGGUUCAUGGCUAUGAAAGAAAGGAAUUUUCAAAGCUCAAAAGGUGUUUGAGGGUUUCAAAGACCUAAGAUCAACAUCAACUAUUCAUCAACUCUCUUUCUCUUGUUGUCAUAGUAGAGAAAGUGAUAUAUAACCUUGUUCAUCUCAAAUAUCAGAAUUCUCUUAACAUAGGUCAUAAUGCUAAUCCAACUUUAUCUCUGAUGAAUAAUGAAUCUAAAAAUUUUUGAAGACACUAAAGGCUUUAUCCUAGACACACCAAAAGACAUGAAACUUGAUUUUUUUGGUGUUGACUUUUGACAUUUGUUGUGUCUUUCUUCCAUUGAAACCUCUUUUGCCCCUCUUAGAAUUGAUAGGCAUUCUCCUUCAUUUCCACUUUUUUUGCUUUUACAUAACCUUCUUCAAAGUUUUCUUGGAUGGCCCUCAAUCUAUGGCUUUUCUUGUUCUCCCUUUCUCAAUCAUUGGACUUUUGUUCUAAGCCUUUCCUUUAUCCAUUAAUCCUAUCACUGUCUUUAAAAUAUCUCUCAUUUGCCCCCAGUGUGGGGUGUGAUCCUAGUCGGGGUUUUUUAUGAAAGGAAUAUUCUAUCCAGCUCAAAAUGGGACUCAAGGGAUAUAAUCUUUAGAAAGUGAAGGGAUAUCAAAGAUGGCCUUUUCUCAUUUCAAGCAAUGGUCGGUUAGAACCGAUAAAUUUUGACCUCGUCCAGUGUAAUGAUUUGGACUUGUAAGAAUCAUGAUUCACGAGUCCAUAACUAUUGAAUCCACUACAUGUCAUUAUGCAUACUGCUAAAACUAGCUAUAUGAUGUGUGGUUUAGUUUCAGGAGGUAUGAGUUCAAAAUUGUUUGGUCACCUCAUGUCAUUUUCAAGCAUCAAGUCAUUUCUGCAAUCAAAACACUUUUAAUGUUCAUGAUUAAACUUUGCAUGUUGGAGUUUGAUCAAACAUAUUUUGUCAAAAUACCCUUUGAAAGAAGCAUCUCUUGAUUUCAAAACAAUAGGAAGACAAAGGAAAGACAUGUUUUGUUCAAGGAUGAGAUGUGACCCCAAAACAAAAUGCAAGAUGGCAAAAUCCAUAACAAAAAUGAUUGACAGUUUAACCCCUUCUUAGAUCAGCCUCUUUGGCAAUAUCUCUGUUUUGCCAAGCAAUUCCGAUCACUCGUCAUUCUGAGGAUGUUCUGGCGAUAAAAUGAUCGAUGACAAGCUCCUUCCCAGAUUCCUCUCGUCUUUUGCUCACCAACUUCCGGACUCGAUUCUUGCAAUUGUUCAAUUGAAAUGGCUGAGGACCCCACCAUGACAUCACAUCUCUUGUCUGGAUUAUACCACCUACAAAAUGGUGGUUGCAUGGGUUUUGUCGGAGUCAGGCAUUAAGUCUGGAAUCUGGCAGAUGCUAGUAAAUAAACCCACAUGGCAACGGAAUGUCUAUCUUUGGCAAAGACAUUGGAGUAGUUGGUGCUUUGUGAGACUUGACUAAACCACAUAACUAUGGUUUUCCGUCUUCAGAGUCAUCUCCUGAUUCAUCUCUUCACAGUUCUGGAAUCCAUGGCAGAUCCUUCAAUCUUUCACUUCUUCAUAGCUCGCUCAAUUCUUUCGAUGAUCUUCACAACAUCAUGUCAUUCUUCCAAUGUUGUUGUGGUUUGUUGAGGGUUGUUGGAAAACUUCCACCAGCGAGGUAAUCUUGGCAGCGCCUACAAACUUGCAGCAUUGUCGCUGUCAAUGUGUGAAAUGAUGCAUUGUUCUUAUUGGAGGAGAAACACUGAAUAUGAAACUCCUUUGUCUCCUCUUCGAUCCCUCACUGACAGUGUAGCAAACAAACACCUGUAGAGGGAGCUCUGCUCUGUUGAAGUUUCAAUCUUCUUUCUAUUUUUCAGCCGAGGUUUGUCUCUUUUCUCUACUUUUGCAUUUUCAAGCUAACACUGAUGAGAGAAAAUUAUAGAUGAUCAGAAACUACUGCAUCCCUUCUUGGAUUCUCCACUUGCAGAUCUACAAACAGAUUUCUGCAGAGAGAGCUCUGCCACGGUGAAGUUCUAUAUUUGCUCCUGUUUUCUAGCUCAAGUCUGGCUUUUCUGCCUACUACAGUGUUUCGAUGCUGAAACUGGUGGGGUAACUUUUCACAUUGUCUGGAACUACUACAUCCCCUCUUGCAUUCCCCACUUGCAGAGCCACAAACGGGUUUUUAUAGAGAGAGCUCUGCCACAUUGAAGUUUGACGACUGCUAAUAUUUGCAGACCAAGUCUGACUCUUCUGCCUACUACAAUGUUUUGCUGGUGCCACUGGUGAGAGAAAGUUUCAAAGCAUAUGAAACUACUACAUCCCCUCUUGCAUUCCCCACUGACAGAUCCACAAACAAAUCUCAACAGAGAGAGAUCUGCCACAUAGAAGUUCAGUGUAUAAUCAUGGUUAGAUCAGCAUCUUGUGCCGCUGAACUGGAAUUGAGCUCAAAGUGGGGUAACUUCAAAGAAGGCUAAUGCACCAUGCACAGAAGGCUAGCAGUUAUUUGGUGCCAUUUAAAAGAUAUGGAGGUGAUGAACAAUUAACAGGGCAACUGACCAAGAACAAAAGUUGUCAUUGGUUAUGACUGAAGGCAUUGUUGCCGUUGUUCAUGACUGAAAAGGAGAGGUGCGGCUUUAAUGGGACGUGGACGAGCGGUGUUCCCACAAAAGAUUGUGCAGACAUUCCCUUUCCAUUUGAUGCUCAACACUUGUUCAGGGAGAUCUGAGUCUAGCUACUUCACCUUUGAUGCUCUCAACUUCCCUUUGAUAAUGAGCUUCUCUUUGACCCCUUUCUUCAUUUCCCAUCAUCUUUGUUCAAUCAGGUGUAGCAAAGCUCAGAUGGGGGAACCUAUUUUUCCUCCCGGUACAUGCAUGAUAAAUGUAUGAACAUGCAAACUAUAUGAUGAACUUGCCCUUCGAGAGGUGACAUAUGGUCGUAACUCUUGCAUGAUGAAACAAGAAUCUUGAUUCUUGCCCAAACUCUACAAUGAAAAUUUUCUGAGUGACGGCCAUUGGGUCACCCACAAGUCUUGAGUUCAAGAUGCUUCAAGAAGGGUUUGCCCUUAUGCAAAACAACGUAUACGGAGCACACAUCCUAAAGGCAGGUUCUAUUCAUUAUGUGAACAUGGGUAAGUUUUCUACCUGGUCUCAAAAGGGUCUCAUAUCUGCCCAGUGACGUUCUUCGUAAAGACAGUGUGGGGGCGUUGCAAGGAAUAGUUAAGGUACGUCUACCCACCAUUACCAAGCAGGCACUCAGAUAUGAGUUCGGUUUUUCACGCAUCUGAACCCUGACCAAUAGUCAUAGGGCAGAUCGCUAAUUCACCACCUAACUUAGAAGCUUGUGUGUGCUUUAAAAAAUAAAUACAGGUGAUGCAUGAAACAAUUCUAAAAAUACAUGGAUAAAACAAAAAUAAAACAAGACAAAAAUGCAAAAACUUAAACACAUCAAAUACACAAAGCUUAGUCCAAUAUCGUCAGAAACAGUACCUUCCCCAGUGGAGUCGCCAUUCUGUCGCACGUCAUAAAAAAUCCGCGCGGCGUCGGCUGGCGAUCUUAUCGUUGUUAUGUUUUGAUUUGAUUGGUUCGUUGGAGUCGCCACCUAGUAAUUGAUUGAGGGCUACUAGGAAACCGGAUGUACUGGUCUUGUCAGAGAUUCGCGGGUAAGGGACUGGUUGUGGUUAGAGAAGGUAUUAGCACCCCUAACGCACCCUACCUGAGGUAAGCUGCUUCGCGAAUUUGAUGUGCUUAAAGAAGUUUUAAUAAUUGUUUUUUCAUCGGAUAUUAGAAAUACAACUUACGUAUAAGUUAAUAAUUCUUGACCGUGAUCCAAUCAAAAAUAUUAAAUUCUUCUUUAAUCUUUGCAAUUUCAUCAUAAAAAAAUAUAUAUAUAAAAAAUAAAACAAAUACAAACACCCACAUUCACUUUUACUAUAUUUUUGUUUUCUUUUCUUUUUCUUU
rnacentral:lncRNA from 1 species